UUUUUUUAAAAGAACGGCACACUAUUUUCUGUAGUGGCUGCCCCAUUUUACCCCCCCCCCCCCAGCAGGGCAGAAGGGUUCCAAGUCCCCUGAAUCCGUGCCAACCCUUAUUCCUUUCUACUUACUUAUAGUAGUCAUCUUAAUGUAUAUGUGGCGAUAUUUUAUUAUUUAAUCUGCAGUGGCCUAAUGAAUGACGUUGAUGAUCUUUUUUUUAAAAAAUAUUUUAUUUAUUUAUUUACUUACUUACUUAGCAUGCCGAUGGUUAGGUAAGAGCCAGAGGAAGAGGGGGAGAGAGGGAAUCUCAAGCAGUCUCUGCGCUAAGUGCGGAGCCUGACGCAGGGCUCCAUCUCACAACCCUGAGAUCAUGACCUAAACCGAAAUCAAGAGCCGGAUGCUCAACCAACCGAGCCCCCCAGACGCCCCUGAACAUCUUUUUAUGUGCACGUUGGCCAUUUGUAUAUUGUCUUUAGAGACAUGUCUCUUCUAAUUUUUUGCCCAUUUUAAAAAUCUUAGUUUUUUGGUGUUUUGUUGUUGGCUUGUAGGAACUCUUUAUAUAUAUUCUGGACAUUAACGCCAUUUCAGAUAUAUGAUCAGUGGAUAUUUUCUUCCAUUUGUGAGUUGCCUUUUCACUCCAUUGAUUUUGUUCUCUGAUAUGCAGAAGCUUUGACAUUUGAUGUGGUCCCACGUACUUAAUUUUGCUUUGUUACUGACCCUUUUGCAUCGUAACCAAGAAUCAUUGUGCAUCCAGUAUCAUGAAGCUUCUUUCCUGUUUUUGACCCCCACCCCAGAAUUUUAUAGUUUUAGAUCUUUUAUUUGAUCUUAAUCCAUUUCAAGUUCAAUUUUGUAUGGUGUUAAGUAAGGUCCCAACUCUCUCUCAUUUUAUUUUAUUUUAUUUUUUUGCAUGUGGAUAUCCAAUUUUCCCGACACCAUUUGUAGAAAAGACUGCCCUUUCCCCAUUGAGUAGUCUUGGCACCCUUGGUGGAGGUCAUGUGACCAUGUAUGUGAAGGCUUAUUUCGGGACUCUCUAUUUUUUUUUUUUUAAAGAUUUAUUUAUUUAUUUGACAGACAGAGAUCACAAGCAGGCAGAGAGGCAGAUAGAGAGAGAGGAGGAAGCAGGCUCUCCGAGGAGCAGAGAGCCCGAUGCGGGGCUCGAUCCCAGGACCCUGAGAUCAUGACCUGAGCCGAAAGCAGAGGCUUUAACCCACUGAGCCACCCAGGCGCCCCCGGACUCUCUAUUCUAUUCCUUUGGUCUCUAUGUCUGUCUUUAUGCCAGUACCACACUGUUUUGAUUAUGGUAGCUUUGUAAUGAGUUUUUUUUUUUUUUUUAAGAUUUAUUUAUUUAUUUAUUUGACAGACAGAGAUCACAAGUAGGCAGAGAGGCAGAGAGAGGAGGAAGCAGGGUCCCUGCUGAGCAGAGAUUCCCGAUUCGGGGCCUGAUCCCAGGACCCUGGGAUCAUGACCCGAGCUGAAGGCAGAGGCUUAACCCACUGAGCCACCCAAGUGCCCCUGUAAUGAGUUUUGAAAUCAGGAAGUGUGAGACUUAUUUCUCCUUCUUUUUCAAGAUAAUUUUGGGUAUUUGUGGUGUCUUGAGAGUCCAUAUAAAUUUAAGAUGGAUUUUUUCCUAUUUAAAAUUUUUUUUUUUUUUUUUUUAGAGAGAGGCUGUGAGGGGCACCUGGGUGGCUCAGUGGGUUAAGCACCUGCCUUUGGCUCAGCUUGUACCGGGACGUGAAGCAGAGGAUGUGCGUGCCGAAGAUUGGCCUGGAGCGUUGAUCUGUGGUGGCCUCUUCACUCGAGACAUCAAAACACGUGUUCUGCUUUCUACCAUCCCCCCCAAAAGCAGCUGGGAAUGGAGACGCAGAGCCCAAACCGCCAGUUCAAAGCGUUGUGCCAGUGGCUGGGACUCAGUCUUCGACACGACCGAAACCUCACCAGUUUGGACCGCAUUUCCCCAAACCCAGCUCGAUGGUAUCUUCAGAGGCUUGGGGAGGCAGAGUCAAGACACUGGUGUUCAGCAGGAGGACAAGGUUCCACGGUCUUCUGCUCUCGGAUUGUGGGGACCGCCCUCCUGGCUCCAUACACGGGACCCUUGUCCUCAGAUGCUGGAAGGUGAGGCGCGGGCGCCGCUGAGAGUGGGGCCUUGCGAAACACCAGGGGUGGCAUGAAGGAAGAGACCGGGGAGAGGCGCUCGUCGGGACCUUGACCCCAGGUCCCUGGGGCGGGAAGUGAGAGCUGGCCGAGUGUUCACGGAACAGGCCGAAACGUGCAACAUUUCAACAACACUUCAACAACACUCCUUUACCUGCAGUGGGUGGGCUCGGUCCUAAGUGCCUUCUAAGCAGCAGUUCCGUUAAUCCUCCCAAGAGCCCUUGGAGGCAGGACUAGUGUCCUCCGCACUUGGCCAGCAAGGGCAAGGAGCGGCAGAGAGGUUAAUUUAAACGGCUCGCCUGGAGCACCUGGGUGGCUCAGUCGGCACAGGUCAUGAUCCUGGGGUCCUCGGAUGGAGCCCCUCAUGCAUCGUAUUGGCUCCCUGCUCGGUGGGGAGCCUGCUUCUCCCUCUCCCACUCCCCCUGCUCGUGUUCCUCUCUCCCUGUCCCUCUCUCUGUCAAAUAGAUAAAUAAGUAAAAUCUUUUAAAAAAAAAUGAUUUGGGGCGCCUGGGUGGCUCAGUGGGUUAAGCCUCUGCCUUCGGCGCAGGUCAUGAUCCCAGGGUCCUGGGAUCCAGCCCCCCAUUGGGCUCUCUGCUUCGGGGGGAGCCUGCUUCCCCUUCUCUCUCUCUGCCUGCUUGUGAUCUCUCUCUCUGUCAAAUAAAUAAAUAAAAUCUUUAAAAAAAAAAAAAAAAAGAUUUGUCCGAGGUCACAUAUCCAGGAAGGAGCAACUCUCAGUUCUCAGCACCGAGCGCGAGUGGGAAGCUGGACCCCGGGCUGUUCAGCCAAUACGUAGGAUAAGGGUUGAGAUUUCCCGCAGGGCAGGCCAUGCGCUGGGAUCCGGCCUGAGUGUGGAAACAGAACACCACUUCUGCUCUCGCAGAACACGUGGUCCAGAGGGAGAGACAGACACCAAUGGUUACAGCCCGGGUUACACAAAUCAGUGCUGGGAGAUGAGCCCGGGGACUGAGUGACUGCUGUGGGCCCUGCCCUGUUAUCAGCCAGGCUUAUCUCUUCCUCCUCGCAAAAACCCCUCAAGGUAUCAUUGGCCCCAUUUUGUCGCAUGAGUAAAGUGAGGCUUAGAGAGAUUCAGUAAUUUGCCUAAGGUCACAGCAAGGAAGUGGCAGAUUUGGGACUCCCAAAUCUAGGGAAGUGUGCAGUUCUGGGAGGGUGCAUAACCAGAAGGGUUUCCCAGAGGAGGUGCUGCUGCCUUGAGUUGUAUGGGACAGGGGAUUGGUCCAUGGAGAGGAGGGUGUUCCAAGCAAAGGAAACCACCCACAAAGGCCCAGAG